rnacentral:rRNA from 2 species
GCUCAGUAACACGUGGAUAACCUACCCUUAGGACUGGGAUAACCCUGGGAAACUGGGGAUAAUACCGGAUAGGCAAUUUUUCCUGGAAUGGUUUUUUGUUUAAAUGUUUUUUCGCCUAAGGAUGGGUCUGCGGCCGAUUAGGUAGUUGGUUAGGUAACGGCUUACCAAGCCAUUGAUCGGUACGGGUUGUGAGAGCAAGAGCCCGGAGAUGGAACCUGAGACAAGGUUCCAGGCCCUACGGGGUGCAGCAGGCGCGAAACCUCCGCAAUGUGAGAAAUCGCGACGGGGGGAUCCCAAGUGCCAUUCUUAACGGGAUGGCUUUUCAUUAGUGUAAAGAGCUUCUGGAAUAAGGGCUGGGCAAGACCGGUGCCAGCCGCCGCGGUAACACCGGCAGCUCUAGUGGUAGCAGUUUUUAUUGGGCCUAAAGCGUCCGUAGCCGGUUUAAUAAGUCUCUGGUGAAAUCCUGUAGCUUAACUGUGGGAAUUGCUGGAGAUACUAUUAGACUUGAGACCGGGAGAGGUUAGAGGUACUCCCAGGGUAGAGGUGAAAUUCUGUAAUCCUGGGAGGACCGCCUGUUGCGAAGGCGUCUAACUGGAACGGUUCUGACGGUGAGGGACGAAAGUUAGGGGCGCGAACCGGAUUAGAUACCCGGGUAGUCCUAACUGUAAACGAUGCAGMCUUKUUUUGGGGUGGCUUUGAGCUGCUCCAGUGCCGAAGGGAGGCUGUUAAGUCCGCCGCCCUKGGAA